CACAAGGCAGCCAAGUGAAGAGACUGGAGAACAAGACUCAAAUCUACCUCUCUGAAGAUGGGGGUUUUAGGGAUAUUUAUGGGCCAGGGGAGCAAGGUGGUAUGAAGCGUAGGGAAAGGUGACUGGGGGUAAUGAAAAGUGAGGCAAUUGGUGAUCUUCACAAGCAUAGUCAAGCUUCAUGGCUCUUUAUAGGAUGCAUGUUCAUAAAAUAGCAUGGUUAGCAUGAUCUAAAGGUAUAUUUUUAGGCCCUCUGAUCUCAAAUGGUCACCUAUCGGACACUCAUGCAGGCUUAUUUGAAGGGUCGGUGGUCUCAGUAGGCUUGAAGUGGGUAAGAACUGACUCUACGUUCCUGAAAAACAACUUAGGCAACUGUUACCAUGGUGACUCAUACAUCAGAGAUGUCGUCUAUAAGGAAGCUAGUGGGAAUUUAGAUAUAUAUUGUUUCGCUACAUCACUUUUAGCUAAAUGGGUUUUAAAAUCGACUAAAAGCAAGUGACCGAAAACAAGUGAGGUAAGUUAAGUUUGUGGAUCCAAACAGAUUAGCCUUAGGUUUCACAGGUGUGGUGGGGGUACAGCCACAGGCAAAACCAGAUGGGAGGAGUCCCAUCAGCAUUGGAUUCCUAGGUGCACGGGACAGGGACGGACUGUGGUGUGCGACACCCCCGUGCACCAACACCUGACACCGGGUCACUGGCCAUAAGAAGGGAAGGAAGGAUGGUGGCGGAAAAUCCUGGCAGGGCUGGGGGUUUAUCCAAAAGACACUACAUUGACUCUAGAAGCAACUGAGUUUCUCUUUAAUUGGAGAGUUUUUAUUUUUCUGUUUUUUGUUUGUUUGUUUUUGUUUUUGUUUUUUGAAAUGGAGUCUUGCUCUGUCACCAGGCUAGAGUGCAGUGGCGCCAUCUCGGCUCACUGCAACCUCAGCCUCCCAGAUUGAAGCAAUCCUCUUGCCCCAGCCUCCAUAGUAGCUGGGACCACAGGCACAUGCCACCACGCCCAGCUAAUUUUUUGUAUUUUUAGUAGAGACAGGGUUUCACCAUGUUGGCCAGGAAACUCUCGAUCUCUUGACCUUGUGAUCCGUCAGCCUCGUCCUCCCAAAGUGCUGGGAUUACAGGCAGGAGCCAACGUGGCUGGCCAAGAGUUUUUGUUUUUCUAUCAUCAUCAGAAGGGGGAUUUGAGAGCUUCAUUAUGUUCAAUGAUAGAGAAAUUAAGAGUUCUUUUUUCGUUCUGCCCAAGUUCAUGACCAUGACAUUUACACCCUCUACAUAUGGUCAUCAGUCUGUAGGUGAAAUUGGCAACUGGAUAGUACUCGCUACUAUUCCUCUGGACCAGCUGAGUCGUGGGCCUCUAAAUAGCUGUCAUGAGGGAGUUCUUAAAGGUAGAGAAUUUAAUAUCUGAGCUUCUGUGUGUGCGUGUAUAUGUGCGUGUGCAUGUGUAGUGUAUGUGCAUCUUGUGUACGUGUGUGGUGUGCAUCUGUGUAUGUAUGUGUGGUGUGUGCAUGUGUGGUAUGCAUAUCUGUGUGUGAGUGCAUGUGUGUGUAUGUCAAUGUUGUCUUCAGUUUCAUGUCAAGUAUUUCACGUAUGCCUACAUUUUCUAUCAUCUUUGUCUCACUUUCACUUGAGGCAAAUGAUCAAAAGCUGAUUGAUCAUUUGAAGACAUGAAUUGAAAGGGGCUAAAAAAGUGUUACUUUUCUGAAUAAUAUUUUUGGCUACUUAAAAAAAGUAAAGUCUUUUUAAAAUGGAGGUGAUAGUAGCCUUUUACUUCCUGUUGUCAGAUUAUAUUGGAACAUUUAUUUUUUCACCUCUAAGUUCACAGGGCAAAGGGGUUAUGGCUUGGCUGGACAUUUUUCAGGAGAUGAGAAGACCAAAGUUGGUGAAGAUUACACGUGGCUUGAGAAUAUGCAAUAUGAAGACAUGUUGAGAAAAUGAUGUGAUAAAAAGAAUAGUCUAAAGAAAGUAAGAUUCAGAAGGGUUAUGAAGACAGUUUUCAAGUUUCUGAAGGUGAAUGGAAGAAUUUGCAGUUUUAUUCUCUAUG
rnacentral:lncRNA from 1 species